GCAAUGUGUCCACGAAAAACACUUUGUUAGACAUAGUGAGGAAAGAGAUAAAAGAACAGUCCUCCACUCAGUCACAGAGGAACUUGAAGGCUAUACAAAGAGUGUGGUCUUUUUUGUUUCUUUUAAUUUUUUUUUUAGCUAUUGAUGAUCAUAUAUAUAUAUAUAUAUAGCUGAGAAUCAAACCCAGUGCCUCUCUCAUACAAGGCAAGCACCCUACCACUGAACCACAACCCAGGCCCAAGUGUGGUCUUCAUUCAGUGAGAAUUCUUCUGGCAGCUAUAUGUUGAAUGGGGGCAUUGAUAGUGUCAUCUGCUGCAAACAGGAAAAGAGAGAGAACCCGGAAGGGCCAAUGGAUAUGGAACUAGGUCACUGAUGACCACACACUUUCCUACCUAACUCUUUCAUAAAGAUAACUCCUUGGAUCAAGAGCAUUUAAGACCCACAACAGGGCUGUACAAAACAAUAUCUCUCCCCCUCCUAACCUUUCCAGAAAAAAAAAAAUAAGAAGGGAUUAUAAAACCCUCUGCAUCCCUAUGCAUUCUCUUUCUCCUCUGCUUAGGAAGUGGCCCUUAGCAUGGCAAGGAAUGGGCCAGACAUACCUUCUCCUGGGAGGCUCCUUUGAUUUUAGAGGUCUCAGUAGGACCCAGGAGACAAGAAAUGACAGACUACCUACUUAGGGCUGCCUCUGGUUCCCAGUUUUAUGGGCAAGGGGAAAGGGGCCUGCUCUGGUUUCUACAUUGCCCAGCUUGGAACACUGAGCUUUCUUACCCAGAGAUUGGAAACAGAAACCUUAAUCAGGGAUGGAGAGGAAGAAUUCAUCUGCAAUGUGUCCUGUAUCCUCUCUCAAGAAUCUAAGAGUGACAGGAGGCAGCUGGACUAGGUGCAAGGCUAGCCAAGAGAAGGGAGCCCUCAAAUGGUGACCUUCCAGUUUAAGGGCUAUGGGAGGGAGAGGGCAAGAGAAGGAAACAGUAUUUUCUGAGUUCCCACUAGGUGUUAGGAACACACCUAGUAUACUACCCAGUGUCUAGCACAUAGUAGGUGCUCAAGUCAUGCUCACUGAAUAAAGCCUCUUACUCUAUCUCUAAAUCUCAAAACAGCCCUGUGAACUAGACUGAAAUUAGAAGAUUAAUUUUUUUUUGUACCAGGGAUUAAACCCAGGGGUGCUUAACAUCCCCAGCCCUAUUUUAUAUUUUAUUUAGAGACAGGGUCUCACUGAGUUGCUUAGCACCUCAGUUUUGCUGAGGCUGGCUUUGAAUUCACCGAUCCUCCUGUCUCAGCCUCCUGAGCUGCUGGGAUUACAGGCGUGCGCCACUGCGCUUGGC
rnacentral:lncRNA from 1 species